ACUAGAAUGAACGGCUAAAUGAGGACUAAACUGUCUCUUACAGGCUGACCAAUGAAAUUGAUUUUCCAGUACAAAAGCUGGAAUAUAACCACAAGACGAGAAGACCCUGUGGAGCUUAAAACCAAAUUCACCAAACAUGUCUCAUUGGUUUUCAGUUGGGGCGACUUCGGAGUACAAAAUAACCUCCAAACAUAAAACUAAUUAAGAACAACACAUCAAAAUAUGUUUAUAAUGACCCAGCACCCUGUAGUUGUCUGAUUAAUGAACCAAGUUACCCCAGGGAUAACAGCGCCAUCCCCUUCUAGAGUCCCUAUCGACAAGGGGGUUUACGACCUCGAUGUUGGAUCAGGACACCCCAAUGGUGCAGCCGCCAUUAACG
rnacentral:rRNA from 1 species